AUGCACGAAGUCUUGAGCCCUAAAAGCAAGCAGCAACAUCACAGAAUACAGAUUAAGGUUAUUCCACGUUCUACAACCAUGCUGGUCACCUCCCAGAAAAACAAACCUUUGGAGGAUGUACAUCUGGAGAAGCAAUCACAAGGGAUCCCAAAUGAUAAGCAGAGUGAGGACAGCCCCAGGGAUUCCGUCACCCGUGGGUGCAGUGUGCCCACAUUGAGAGCAGGAGUGGGGAAGGUCUCAGCUCCUGCAGCCCAGGACACUGCACUUGCAUGAGCCCCAGCCAGCACAACCUACUUAUUUUACCCUUGUGAAAGUGCUUUAACUUCAGAAUAAAAUAUUGUUUUACCCUCUGCCCCGCUGCUCU
rnacentral:lncRNA from 1 species